UAAUAAUAAUAAUAAUGUUUAUUUCCAAAGACAAAGGUACAAUAAACCAUGCACAACAGGUGCAAUAGUAACAAGUAGAAUACUACAACAAUAUUACAAAAAUAACAAUAUUAAUAACAACGUAGAUUCUGCAUAAAGUACAAUCUAUAUGUAAAUAUAUAUACACAAUAUAGCAAUAACAUUAUUAUGAAUUCCACAAAUAAAUCAAUUUUGAAAUAAACAAAUGAACCACUAAGGCUAAAAAGCCAGCGCGUGGUUGUAAAGUGUUUUUUUUACAUAAUAAAAUUUAACAAAUAUUUCAACAAUGUAUACUGCUUAAAUGAGACAAUAUGAUGACAAUGAUACUAAUACUGUGUGAACAACUUAUUAAAAUUUUGGGAUAAUGUCAUUAGUGUGCUGUUUUCAGUGAUAAGCACUAUAUGGAACUUUAUUCGUGUCUAUGAGAUUAUGUAUUAUUUCUCUAUCUGUUUCAUGAAGGUACUGUUUUGUAUGUUUUCUGAAUGAUAUUACUGAUCUUGAGUCCUUGAUUUUCCUAGGGAUGUUGUUGAAUAUUCGUGUGCUAAGAUAAGUAUAUCCUCUCUGCCCAAUAGUUUUGGAUGAAUAUUCCGUGCGCACCAUGUUUUCUUUUUUUGCCCUGGUACUGUAGUUGUGGUCAAUAUUCUUUAGGCUACUUUUGUUUUUGAAUUGAUCUAUCGCUACACGUAGGAAGUAGAUUUGUCUGAGGUCUAAUAUUUUACUCUCAGAAUAAAGCAAGGUCGAUGAAUACGUUCGAGAUUUAUUGAAACAAAUCUUCAGGAAUUUUUUCUGUAAAAUAUCCAGAUGAGAUAAGUAACUGCUGGCAACACCUCCCCAACCUAGGAUUCCAUACGAUAAUCUAGACUCGACCAAUGCAUGGUACAGGAUUUUCAUUUGGUGAUUGAAAUCGGGGAGAUGAGAUGAGUAGCAAGAAAAAGGUUUUUCCAGGAUGUGUCUUCAUAGAAUAUUGCCGUGUCAUCCGCAAAACUAAUGAUUUCUCCAUUGGUCUGAGAGGUGAAAGAAAUAUUGAUGACUGUGUCCGAACUCCCUUCAGUGGUGGAAUUGCCGGUGCCUUAAUUUUAUCAGCAAAUUUCUUCCCUAGCAUUGUAAAAUGUUCAUUGAAUACGUUAGCUAUUUCAACUCUAUCAGUGAUUGUUCUAUUUUCGUAUUGUAUCCGAUUUACAGUAUUCUGUUUUUUGGCAGCUGAUAAUUCCUUCACAGUAUUCCAAAUUAUUUUACUAUCACCUUUACUAAGGUCAAUUUGUUUUUUAUAAUAUGAGGUUUUAGCAUUUUUUAUCAAUAUAUUAACUGUAUUUCGGUAUCUCAAAUAUUCUUUUUUUAGGAUGUCA